rnacentral:rRNA from 1 species
UACAGAGGUGCCAAGCGUUAGGCGGAAUCACUGGGCUUAAAGCGCGUGUAGGUGGGUCGUUAAGUGUCCGCGUGAAAUCCCACGGCUCAACCGUGGAACUGCCGGGCAUACUGGCGAUCUUGAGGCAUUCAGGGGCGAGCGGAACAAGUGGUGGAGCGGUGAAAUGCGUAGAUAUCACUUGGAACGCCAACGGUGAAAACAGCUCGCUGGGGAUGUACUGACGCUGAGACACGAAAGCCAGGGGAGCAAACGGG